rnacentral:sRNA from 1 species
GCGCUACACUGAUGCAUUCAACAAGCCUAUCCUUGACCGAAGGGUCUGGGUAAUCUUUGAAACUGCAUCGUGAUGGGGAUAGAUUAUUGCAAUUAUUAGUCUUCAACGAGGAAUGCCUAGUAAGCGCAAGUCAUCAGCUUGCGUUGAUUACGUCCCUGCCCUUUGUACACACCGCCCGUCGCUCCUACCGAUUGGGUGUGCUGGUGAAGUGUUCGGAUUGGUAGCUUAGGGUGGCAACACCUCAGGUCUGCCGAGAAGUUCAUUAAACCCUCCCACCUAGAGGAAGGAGAAGUCGUAACAAGGUUUCCGUAGGUGAACCUGCGGAAGGAUCAUUGAAUUAUUAAAACCACAAUGUGAACCUAUCUGUUCCGUGCCUUGGCUGCCAGCAAGGCAAUCGGGCUUUGCUCGGUUGUGCUUGCAAGCUGGUGCGAGUAAUUUCUUACUUGCAUCAGUGGCGCUUUGGCAUGCUUAUACACCAGUGCUAACCACUGUCAAAUCCAAAAUCUGAAGCUUUGAUCGCUAUUAACUGGCGGUCUUAACCAAAGACAACUCUCAACAACGGAUAUCUUGGCUCUCGCAACGAUGAAGAACGCAGCGAAAUGCGAUACGUAGUGUGAAUUGCAGAAUUCCGUGAACCAUCGAAUCUUUGAACGCAUAUUGCGCUCGAGCCCUCGGGCAAGAGCAUGUCUGCCUCAGCGUCGGUUUAUACCCUCACCCCUCUCUCCAUGCGGAGGGUUGGUCGACUGUGUGUUGGCCUUAGGGGUGGAUCUGGCUCUCCCAAUUGGUUAACUCUCAUUGGGUUGGCUGAAGCUAAGAGGCUUAAGCAAGGACCCGAUAUGGGCUUCAACUGGAUAGGUAGCACCGGCUUUUGCCGCCUACACGAAGUUGUGGCUUGUGGACUUUGUUAGAGGCCAAGCAGGAAACAUGCUUUGCAUGUAUUAAACUUUCGACCUGAGCUCAGGCAAGGCUACCCGCUGAACUUAAGCAUAUCAAUAAGCGGAGGAAAAGAAACUAACAAGGAUGCGCUUAGUAACGGCGAGCGAACCGCGCAAAGCCCAACUUGAAAAUCUCCCUUGGAGAAUUGUAGUCUAUAGAAGUACCCUCUGUAACGGGCGGAGCUCAAGUCUCCUGGAAAGGGGCGUCAGAGAGGGUGAGAACCCCGUAAGCUCUUGCUUUGUUACCUCACGAGGUGCUUUCAAAGAGUCGGGUUGCUUGGGAAUGCAGCCCAAAUUUGGUGGUAAUCCC